UCGCUUGCGAGAGGAAAGUCCGGGCAUCAUACGGCAGAGUGCCGGCUAACUACCGGUGGAGGCAACUCCAAGGACAGUGCAACAGAAAUAGACCGCCCGCAAGGGUAAGGAUGGAAAGGCGAGGUAAGAGCUCACCGCUCUUCCGGCGACGGGAGAGGCUCUGUAAACCCCACUCGAUGCAAGAGAAAAGGACAUAUCGGUUGCCGGCCGCGUCCCUCAAUCGCUCAAGCCGUACGGCAACGUUCGGCUCAGAUAGAUGUUUAUCCUCGACAGAACCCGGCUUACAGACUGC
rnacentral:RNase_P_RNA from 1 species